rnacentral:rRNA from 1 species
UACAGAGGUCUCAAGCGUUGUUCGGAUUCAUUGGGCGUAAAGGGUGCGUAGGCGGCGCGGUAAGUCGGGUGUGAAAUCUCGGAGCUUAACUCCGAAACUGCAUUCGAUACUGCCGUGCUUGAGGACUGGAGAGGAGACUGGAAUUUACGGUGUAGCGGUGAAAUGCGUAGAUAUCGUAAGGAAGACCAGUGGCGAAGGCGGGUCUCUGGGCCUUACCUGACGCUCAGGUGCGAAAGCUAGGGGAGCGAACAGG